UACGUAGGGUGCAAGCGUUAAUCGGAAUUACUGGGCGUAAAGCGUGCGCAGGCGGCUUUGCAAGACAGAUGUGAAAUCCCCGGGCUUAACCUGGAAACUGCCAUUGAUACUAUCAAUCUUGAAUACCUUGGAGGUGAGCGGAAUAUGUCAUGUAGCGGUGAAAUGCUUAGAUAUGACAUAGAACACCAAUUGCGAAGGCAGCUCACUACACGGUCAUUGACACUGAGGCACGAAAGCGUGGGGAUCAAACAGG
rnacentral:rRNA from 1 species